AUUGAACGCUGGAGGCAUGCUUUACACAUGCAAGUCGAACGGUAACAGGGUGCUUGCACCGCUGACGAGUGGUGAACGGGUGAGUAAUGCGUCGGAACGUGCCGAGUAGUGGGGGAUAACGCAGCGAAAGUUGUGCUAAUACCGCAUACGUACUGAGAUAGAAAGUGGGGGACCUUCGGGCCUCACGCUAUUCGAGCGGCCGACGUCUGAUUAGCUAGUAGGUGAGGUAAAGGCUCACCUAGGCGACGAUCAGUAGCGGGUCUGAGAGGAUGAUCCGCCACACUGGGACUGAGACACGGCCCAGACUCCUACGGGAGGCAGCAGUGGGGAAUUUUGGACAAUGGGCGAAAGCCUGAUCCAGCCACGCCGCGUGUCUGAAGAAGGCCUUCGGGUUGUAAAGGACUUUUGUCAGGGAGGAAAUCCCUAGUGCUAAUAACACUGGGGGAUGACAGUACCUGAAGAAUAAGCACCGGCUAACUACGUGCCAGCCGCCGCCGUAA
rnacentral:rRNA from 1 species